GCCAUCCUUCCGGGGCGCGCGCCUACCCUUCGCUGGGCCGGGCGCGCCACCCGGAUCGUUUACUUUGAAAAAAUUAGAGUGUUUAAAGCAGGCGUCGCCGCUCUGAAUACAUUAGCAUGGAAUAAUAGGAUAGGACUUGGGUUCUAUUUUGUUGGUUUCUAGGACCGAAGUAAUGAUUGAUAGGGACAGUUGGGGGUGCUGGUAUUCAGCGGCCAGAGGUGAAAUUCUUGGAUUCGCUGAAGACCAACUUAUGCGAAAGCAUUCACCAAGGAUGUCUUCUUUAAUCAAGAACGAAAGUUGGGGGAUCGAAGACGAUCAGAUACCGUCGUAGUCUCAACCAUAAACUAUGCCAACUAGGGAUGGGCGAACGUUGCUUUUCCGACUUCGUCCGCACCUUAUGAGAAAUCACAAGUGUUUGGGUUCCGGGGGGAGUAUGGUCGCAAGGCUGAAACUUAAAGGAAUUGACGGAAGG
rnacentral:rRNA from 1 species